UACGGAGGGUGCGAGCGUUGUCCGGAAUCACUGGGCGUAAAGGGCGCGUAGGCGGCGCGGGGAGUCAACGGUGAAAGCUCGGCGCUCAACGCCGAGUCGGCCGUCGAUACUCCCGUGCUCGAGCACUGUAGAGGCAGGUGGAAUUCCGGGUGUAGCGGUGGAAUGCGUAGAGAUCCGGAAGAACACCGGUGGCGAAGGCGGCGAUCUGGGUAGAUACUGACGCUGAGGUGCGAAAGCGUGGGGAGCAAACAGG
rnacentral:rRNA from 1 species